AAGUCGUAACAAGGUUUCCGUAGGUGAACCUGCGGAAGGAUCAUUACAAAUCUUUUUGCACACUCGAGCAAAUAGAGAUGAGGAUGAGAUAAAAUAUGAUUUUAUUUUAUUCAUUUUCUAUUUGGCUGAGUGAGCACACAUUGGCACAGGGCUUUAUAUGUAUAUGUGUUAUGUGUGGUAUGUAUGUAUGUGUAUGUACAUAUACACUACCUACACUACUACGUAUAUUUGGCCUUGAUGUUUACGCUUGCUUGUUUGACAGAGUAAAAUGAGACAUAUUAAAUAUAGACAACUUUUAACAAUGGAUCUCUUGGCUCUU
rnacentral:misc_RNA from 1 species